AACGAACGCUGGCGGCAGGCUUAACACAUGCAAGUCGAACGGUUGUAGCAAUACAGCAGUGGCAGACGGGUGAGUAACACGUGGGAACCUUCCUAGGGGUACGGAACAACUCAGGGAAACUUGAGCUAAUACCGUAUACGUCCGUGAGGAGAAAGAUUUAUCGCCCUUAGACGGGCCCCGCGUAGGAUUAGGUAGUUGGUGGGGUAAUGGCCUACCAAGCCUACGAUCCUUAGCUGAUCUGAGAGGAUGAUCAGCCACACUGGGACUGA
rnacentral:rRNA from 1 species